rnacentral:rRNA from 1 species
CCAGCAGCCGCGGUAAUUCCAGCUCCAAUAGCGUAUAUUUAAGUUGUUGCAGUUAAAAAGCUCGUAGUUGGAUUUCGGUUAAGAGCGACCGGUCCGCCGUUUGGUGUGCACUGGUUGGUUUUAACUUCCUGUAGAGGACGUGCUCUGGGUUUAACGACCUGGACUCGGAGUCUACGUGGUUACUUUGAAAAAAUUAGAGUGUUCAAAGCGGGCUUACGCUUGAAUAUUUCAGCAUGGAAUAACACUAUAGGACUCCUGUCCUAUUUCGUUGGUCUCGGGACGGGAGUAAUGAUUAAGAGGAACAGUUGGGGGCAUUCGUAUUUCAUUGUCAGAGGUGAAAUUCU